rnacentral:ncRNA from 2 species
CGGCAUUCUGCAGGAGAGAGCGGCCGGCUUCAUGCCACGCGCCGCCGCCGAAGGCGCAAAUGCACCCGCAAUCGCUCAGGCAAAAGGACUGCAAGAUCGGG